rnacentral:rRNA from 1 species
UACGUAGGGUGCAAGCGUUGUCCGGAAUUAUUGGGCGUAAAGAGCUCGUAGGCGGUCUGUCGCGUCUGCUGUGAAAACUCAGGGCUUAACCCUGAGCUUGCAGUGGGUACGGGCAGACUAGAGUGCGGUAGGGGAGACUGGAAUUCCUGGUGUAGCGGUGAAAUGCGCAGAUAUCGGGAGGAACACCGGUGGCGAAGGCGGUUCUCUGGGCCUUACCUGACGCUAAGGAGCGAAAGCGUGGGGAGCGAAACAGG